GCUUAAUACAGCUGCAAACAACAUGGCGUGCAAUGCACCAGUGGUUUCCAACAAAAGAACACGGUCGUCGUCAGGAGCGUAUUGUACCCUCCCCGGCCAGACCGAAGGAUGUACCCGGUUGGUCGCUCACCAAGAUUCGCGGAGGGAUUGGGACCCCGACUCUGAGCGUCAAGCCGGGAGGCAUUCACCUGGGCAGCCGCAUUUCCCGGCGCAGCCCCGUGGGAAGUCUCGCUGGAAAGGAAGGUAAAGCGGAUAAGAGCAAACCGGCGGGCAAAUCAUCCUCAGCCUCGUCUAAAACGGCCAACGCAGUGAAAAGCACCGGGGGUCGGCGUAAGGUUUCGGACGCCAGCACAGGCUCCGACGAUUUAUCUAAGGACUCCGGCUGUGCCACCGGGAAGCUCUCCCCGACCGACAGUAGCUCCGAGCUCUCGGACUGCGCCUCCGAGGAAAACAAGCUCUCAGCGGACGCUGUGAGUAGCGACGCCGAGUCGAGAAGCAGCCGAGGCGGGGGGCUAGACGGAGACAAACCGCUCAGGGAUGGCGUGUUGGCAGAAAGAGCUAGCCAACAUGCCACCGCCAGGACCACCUGCUUCUCCUCGGAGAGGGACUACAAGGACCGGCUCUCCCUGGCCGUGGAGACAGGGGAAGGGAGCAUAUCCCCAGGCGAGGAGCGCUCGGUCACCUCGUUUGACAGCAGGGUGCCCCCCAGCGCAUCCCUGGCUUUCUCAGACCUCACAGAGGAGUUUAUGGACGGCAUGCAUGAGGAGUUUGUACGGGAAAUAGAAGCACUGAGAAUGAUUACCUCAAGAGUGUAGAAAUGCCUUUGGACUCCAUCCAAUGCUACUCACUACAGGGAUGAUGAUGUUAUGAUUAGAGAGCAUGCAACACAGACACAUGAAACACAUGAGCAAAACAUGUAGCCUUGCAGCCUCCACAUCAAUGUCAUCUCCCGACGAAUAGUUAAAUUCAUCGUUCAAAACGUCGAUCUCAUUGCAAAAUUCCUCCAUCGCUGCAAUAUCUGCCACGUUGUGUUGACUUCCGGUAUGGAUACCCGGAGCGAGGACCCACACAGUGACGUCACCAUUUGGGACUCUCCUAAUGGAAGCGGCCUGGUCCCGGAAUUCGGCCGGCGGAUAAUUAAUUUUCUUUUGGCGAGUAAUAUCAUAUACAAUAAAUAUUACGAUCAAUAUCCAUUGUAAAAUGAAUAAACUACCGGAAUAUUAUAGCUGUAAUUGUGUUUCCUUUCCCCUUUAAGCACAUAACAACCCUGCCCCUCCGAUCAAGAUUUCUCUCUCAGCUAGAUGUGCCAUCUGACAAACUUCUGAAGAUUUUUGAGAAGAGAGGAGGACAGAACUGUCUGAACUGUAUUAUGUCAAACAUGACUCAAGUUGAUGAUGUCGAUUUAGGGCGGGAAUGUCUUCUCAAGGGGUGUGUGUAGCAGCCCGAGCCCCAGAAGCCAUGCUUUGGGCUCCAGUACAGGACCCAGCAGCCAUGGUUCCAUGCUCCAGUGCUGGGCCACACAGCCAUGGUUCCGGCUCCAGAACCGGCCCACACAGCCAUGGUCCCGGCUCCAGAACCGGCCCACACAGCCAUGGUCCCAGCCCUGGCCCCAGCAGCCAUGGUUCCGGCCCCAGCAGCCAUGGUUCCGGCCCCAGCAGCCAUGGUUCCGGCCCCUGCAGCCAUGGUUCCGGCUCCAGAACCGGCCCACAAAGCCAUGGAUCCGUGCACCAGUGCCGGCCCACCCAGCCAUUCUUCCUUGCUCCAUUACCUGGCUUACAGAGCCAGGGUCCAGGCUUCCGUUCCGUGCCCAACAGCCAUGGUUCCGGUUCCAGAACCGGCCCCAGCAGUCAUGGUUUCGGCUCCAGUACUGGCUCUCCGGCCGACGCCAGCUCCCCGUGUCCUGUCGGCGUACCAACAUUUAUAUUCCAACGGCAUCAUUUAGACAUGUGAAUUUCGGUUCCGCUUUUCGAUGCCUGAGGAAAUGUUUCUCGCCGCUCUCCGUAGCCUACUGUAUGACUGCGGCGGGGCGGGAAAUGUAGCGUUGUACCUACACUUCCUACAGCGUAACCUGAGACCAGGGCCGGCCCGUCGCACUGGCGUUAUAGAUGUUCGCCUAGGGCGCCAGAUCUAUGGAGGCGCCGCUGUGACAGCUCUGACAGGGAAAAACUUUUUUUUGACCGUUGGUGCUCAUCCUAAUUUUCGGCCUUGAUGUAACAACAUUCAUAAUUAAGUAAAUGUAACACCCUUUUCAUCCCGGUUACACUUUUCAUUUGCCCUGUACGA